GCCGUCGUGGUGAAAUUGGUAGACACGCAGCCUUGAGGGGGCUGUAGCGCAAGCUGUGACGGUUCGACUCCGUCCGACGGCACCA
rnacentral:tRNA from 10 species